UAUCUCACUCUCGCUCACAUCUAAUCCUGCCUCCACCUUUUUCCCAGGAACCUUCCGGGACGGCCGCCGUCGUCAAGUUCGUCUACGGCGUCGCUGACCUCGCGGCGGACCGUAUCGUCGCCUGGGAGCUUUUCCGCUUGUUCAAGCCGUACCCCAGCACAGCCCGCGUCUCCCCUGCAUCUCCGCACACUCCCACCUCUGCGCCCCAUUCGUCGUCGGCUCGUCGUUGACGGAGCUCGCACCUGGCCGGCCUCGACUUCGCCCGCGUCGACGCCCUGGAACCGCUCAGGCCCGACCGAGGCGUCAGGGCAAGCCUCCGCUCGACCACGCCGUCAUCGCGCCCUUCUACUACCGCUCCUGAGACCCCCGAAUGCGAACGCUAUCGGAGAAGGAGAGGAUCUUGGUGAGGAUUUCGAAGAGGAAGAAAGAGCUGAUGAUUCACGAAGAUGAAGUCCAGGGGCAUAUAGCCAACAAAGGAAAGCCACCUCUUGAUGCAUACCUUAUCCUAAUUGUCUUACUCUUGCAUUAUUACAGGUUUUAUAAAUUGCAUGUCUUUUAUUUAUUUAUGUGAGUGGUUAUAUCCACUCGGAGUUAUAUUAUUCCACCCUUACGGGUGCUGCCCCUCGUUGAUACCUACUGGACAAUCUUGGUAGUGAUUUGGUGCUUAACACCUUA